CACGUAGGGAGCAAGCGUUGUCCGGAUUUAUUGGGCGUAAAGAGCUCGUAGGUGGUUCGAUAAGUCGGGUGUGAAAACUCUGGGCUCAACUCAGAGACGCCACUCGAUACUGUCGUGACUGGAGUCUGGUAGGGGAGUGUGGAAUUCCCAGUGUAGCGGUGAAAUGCGUAGAUAUGCGGAGGAACACCGAUGGCGAAGGCAGUCCCCUGGGCCUGUACUGACGCUCAUGCACGAAAGCGUGGGGAGCAAACAGG
rnacentral:rRNA from 1 species